GGCCUAAUGGCCCAAUGGCAAGGCGCUUGACUACGAUUCAGUUCGAUAUCAAGAGAUUCCAGGUUCGACCCCUGGUUAGGUCA
rfam:Cochliobolus heterostrophus C5 unplaced genomic scaffold COCHEscaffold_10, whole genome shotgun sequence.